GAUCAACGCUGGCGGCGUGCCUAAUGCAUGCAAGUCGAGCGGGGCUUCUUUCGGGAAGCUUACGCGGCGGACGGGUGCGUAACACGUGGGCAACCUGCCCCGGGGUGGGGGAUAGCCGUGGGAAACCGCGGGUAAUUCCGCAUACGUGGUGCUACCGGAAGGGUGGCAUCGGAAAGGGUCUUCGGACUCGCCCUGGGAGGGGCCUGCGGCCGAUUAGCUAGUUGGGGGGGUCACGGCCUCCCAAGGCGACGAUCGGUAGCUGGUCUGAGAGGACGGCCAGCCACACGGGGACUGAGACACGGCCCCGACUCCUACGGGAGGCAGCAGCAAGGAAUCUUCCGCAAUGGGCGACAGCCUGACGGAGCAACGCCGCGUGCGGGAUGACGCCCUUCGGGGUGUAAACCGCUUUUCUUCCGGAAGAACGUGGCGCGAGCCACCUGACGGUACGGGAGGAAGAAGGACCGGCUAACUACGUGCCAGCCGCCGCCGUAAC
rnacentral:rRNA from 1 species